AAGAACAGAAAAUUAAGCAGCAUAGAUGACUCAGGCGGAGAGGAAGUUAUCUCUGAUUAGGAAUGGACCACUUCUCGCUCACUCUCGCUCGCUCGCUCUCUCUUGCUCUCGCUCUCUCCCACCUGACAGUAAACCUUUCCUCUAACUCCGGUGUUUGGUGUGUUUUGUGUGUUUCGUGAUGGCCUUGCGUGGGUGCCGUGACUCGGAUCCAGGCUCUCCCCUCGGGGAUCUGAGCUGCUCUGGGGUCCUGGAUUUCCACCAGUCACAAAACAUACCCCUGGACCUCCUUCCACACCACCGAACGCUCUGUGGUCUCCAUCCACACACUGACCUCUCAAAUUCCUGAGGUAAGACGGGGAACAAGGAAUUCUCUCAUGGCAACCUCUACCAAGGUUGUGGUUCAGCUCUGCUGUGUCUCAAAGUCCUGGUACCAAGCACCACAACCUCCCACAGGCCUUCUGCCUUUCAUGGCUCCAAACCUUUCCACAGGCUCUAGGCCUCGGGCGCCAGUGGAUGCGUGGGUGACAACCCCCACUCUCUGUUCCCGUACCCUCCCUGUUGGACGGCUGUGAUCUUGGGGAUGCCUGAUAUCCACCAGUCUGACUCAAUGGGUUGCCAUGGGAACUCCUCCCUCCUGUGUUCCACCCAACCCCCCCUCUUCGUCGUCUCCUACCUCGACAACCAGUCCACGUUUGACCCUGACACUAUUCAAGAUCAGGAAAGUGGAAGAAAAUCUCCUGUGUAUGAAACCAAAGAUCCCGUGGCCUCACUUGGCCCGCCCUGCUGCUUCCCAGAUGUGAGGCAUGGCCAUUCUCCUCUGCCGUGCUGGACACCGCUGGUUCUGUGCCCACAGGAGUUGCAGUCUCUGAGUGGGGGAAGUGGGGGAGAAGAGCAAACCCUAGAGCUGUGGUGGGGCACACUGCAGGAUCUGAAGACAGAAACUGAGCAAGCAGGCUCAGGCUUCAUCCAGACCCCAGCAACACAACAGACUGAAGCUGGUUGCUGUUAGUUCCCAACCUCAUCAGCAGGUAAGCAAGUUUCAGGCAAUUUCCAAAAGAGAAGAGUGGGGAAGAGAUCUUCCAUCCUCCAGUUCACUUCCCAAAUGGCCACAAAGGCCAGGGCUGGUCCAGGCCAAACACAGGGGCCCAAAAUUCUACCUGGGUCUCCUACAUGGGAGCAGGAGCCCAAGUACCUGGAGAUGGAUCAGAGGCAGACUAGCCAGGAUUGGAACAUACACUUUGAUCUGGGACACCAGCAUCCCAGGCAUUGGCUUACUCCACUGGGCCACAAUGCUGGCCCCCGUGUAUUUUAUUUUUUUAUUUUUUGCCAGGAGAGUUAUAAAGUGAGAGAGAGAGACAGAGAGAGAGAGUUAUAGACAGUGAGAGAGAGAGAGAGAGAGAGAGAGACAGAGAGAAAGGCCUUUCUUCCAUUGGUUCACCCCCCAAAUGGCCGCUAUGGCUGGCGCUGUGCCAAUCCGAAGCCAGGAACCAGGUGCCUCCUCCUGGUCUCCCAAUGCAGGUGCAGGAGUCCAAGCACCUGGGCCAUCUUCCACUGCCCUCCUGGGCCACAGCAGAGCUGGAGUGGAAGAGGAGCAACCAGGACUAGAACCCGGCACCCAUGUGAGAUGCCAGCACCGCAGGUGGAGGAUUAACCAAAUGAGCCACGGCGCAGGCCCCAAUUACUACACUUUUUACCUUUCCUUUUAGUUGUGCUCAGCAGACAAGUGCCUCCCCUACCUCACACCAGACCCCGCCCUCCUGGGUCCCAUUGGGAAGCAGUUUCCAGGGAAGAGGAAAGAGACUCU